AACGGUGGGCGUUGCAGGCUCGUGAACAAGAACAGGAAGCGUGCUCGCUUCGGCAGCGCAUGGACUAACAUUGGAACGGUACAGGGAAGAUCAGCAGGGCCCCUGUGCCAGGACGGCACGCGAAUUCCUGAAGUGUUCCAAAUAAAUAAAUGAGUAAGAACAGGAAGUGGUACUGGGCGUUUCAGGAAUAAUAACGAGCAGCGGGGAACCAGGGCUCUGCGGGGCUCAUGGCGAGUUAUGGAAGCUGUUACGAAUCUGCCUUAUGGUGAGGAAGACAGAGAUCGAGGUGUUGGCAGUGAAAUGGAAAGUAAGGGGUGAUUAAGGGAAAAUAUUUGAAAUUGAAGAAUUGACAGGGAUCCAUGGUUUGUUAGACAUUGAAAAUAAUAACAAAUGUGGUAGGCUGCUUCUCAGUGAGCUCCCACUAUCCCCUUUCUCCUGGGAGCCACACUGCAGUGGAAGCUCUUCCCCCAGUGUGGGCUAGACCUAGUGACUCAUUUCUAAUGAACAGAAUAUGGCAGAGUAAGGGGUCACUCUUACAAAAGAAUGUGGCUUCCAUCUUGGGUGUGAGUGGCCUCCGGGGAGACCCGCAUAACAAUGAAAUGAUGUCCCUGGACCAGCCAGAGAGGACCAGAGGACUGUCAGCAGUCCCAUGAGCGAGCCUGGAUGUGAAUGCGUCCCCUGAUCCCCGACGUUCAGCUGUGAGAUGGCCGCAGCACUGGCCACAGCCUUGACUGCAGCCUUGUAGAGAACCUGGGCCAGAGGAUGCUGCUAAGCCACGCCUGGACUCCUGAGCCACAGGGACUGUGAAUGGAUCAAAGUGUGCUGUUUGAAGCCACUAAAUCCAGGGGGCAUUAGUUACACAGCAAUGGAGAAAAAGUACAACAAGCUUACAAGACAAAAAAUAACUUUUAUCUCAAACAUAGGACACCAGUUUAUUCAGUUUACAUAUUUGGAGAUAUGGUUUUUCUGAAAAUUAACCAAAGGGGGAAUGAAUAAAGAAAAAGAAACAUCAAGGCAAGGAAAGGAAGAGAGCCCACAUCUAAUAGAGGAAAUGUCGUUGCCCUUUUAGUACAGAAGACAGAGAUCUCUCUUCCAUGGGUAAUGGCUCUCCUGUGUUAGCCAUCUACUUGCUGUCCCCAGCAUUAUGCAGCGACAUAUAACUGGACUAUGUUCAGAAAAUUAAAAUGACAUAUUCAAGGUAAAUAUCUAGGAACAUUUCAGCCCUUAGGAAGUAGAAGAAAUACCUCCUGUUACAAUCUCCAUAUUUUCUAAUAGAUAAUGCAACUCAUUCUGCUACACAUCAGCUAGUUAACUAGCAACACUUUUUCCAGUGCUGACCAGUGCAGGAGUUCUUUGAAAGAAUUACUUGUUUCAAAGAGGUCGAAGUGCAGAGUACAAUGGUGAUUGCCAGGAGUUGGAGGCAUGGGGCAUGGGGAGAGGUUGGUCAAAGGGAGGAUAGUCUCAGUCAGAUAAGAUGAGUGUGUUCUGAAGAUCUAUGUAUGAGACGGUGCUGUCAAUAAUAAUGUAUUAUUGUAUACUUGAAAUUGUUAAGAGACAAAUGUUCUCACCACAAGAAAAACCAAUAACUAUGUAGGUGAUGGAUGUUAAUUACUUUGACUGUGGUAACCGUUUCACAGUGCGUGCAUAUAUCAAAACUUCCCAUUGUGCGCUGUAAAUAUACACAAUCUUUAUAUCUCGAUAAAGCUAGGAUGGGAGAAGGAAACACUUAUAAAUCACAGCACACUUGAAGGAAAGAGGAACAGACACCUAUUUCAACAUGUAAGAUCACAACAGAAAGAAGAAUGUGAGUUCCAUGAAGGCAGGCAUUUGCCUUGUUCUCGUCAUAGUCCCAGGCCCUGGCGCGUGUUAGAUGGUCCCUAGUGAUGAGUAAAUGAACAAGUGCAGCAGCUAUGGUUCAAGAAGGCCAUGGUGACCAGAGGCUCAGACCCUUCAGGGAGGAGGCUCAGGGUCACCUUAUCAGCCUGGACUUUAACCACGUGGAAAGCAAGAUUAGAGGCCCCCUGAAUAGUACUGUUCACGAAGACUAAAAGGAACUGAGUGUGCCUGAGCUUAAGCAUCACGAAGACCAG
rnacentral:lncRNA from 1 species